AUGAAACCUUAACAGAUUCCUUCGGGAUGAAGACUAGGUGGAUUAGUGGCGGACGGGUGAGUAACACGUGAGUAACCUGCCUUUGACACAGGGAUAGCCAUGGGAAACCGUGAUUAAUACCAGAUGAAAUCUAAACUACACAUGUAGCAAAGAUCAAAGCGACCAAGCGGUCAAAGAUGGACUCGCGCCUGAUUAGCUAGUUGGUGAGAUAAAAGCUCACCAAGGCAACGAUCAGUAGCCGGCCUGAGAGGGUGACCGGCCACAUUGGAACUGAGACACGGUCCAAACUCCUACGGGAGGCAGCAGUGGGGAAUAUUGCACAAUGGGGGGAACCCUGAUGCAGCGACGCCGCGUGAGCGAAGAAGGGAUUCGUUUCGUAAAGCUCUGUCCUAUGGGAAGAUAAUGACGGUACCAUAGAAGAAAGCCCCGGCUAACUACGUGCCAGCAGCCGCGGUAAUACGUAGGGGGCGAGCGUUGUCCGGAAUCACUGGGCGUAAAGGGUUCGCAGGCGGAUAAACAAGUCAAGAGUAAAAGGCAUGGGCUUAACCCAUGUAAGCUAUUGAAACUGUCUAUCUUGAGAUGUGGAGAGGUAAGUGGAAUUACUAGUGUAGCGGUGAAAUGCGUAGAUAUUAGUAGGAAUACCAGUAGCGAAGGCGACUUACUGGACACAAACUGACGCUGAGGAACGAAAGCGUGGGUAGCAAACAGGAUUAGAUACCCUGGUAGUCCACGCUGUAAACGAUGAGUGCUAGGUGUC
rnacentral:rRNA from 1 species